ACCUGGAUAGCUCAGUUGGUUAGAGCGUGGUGCUGAUAACGCCAAGGUUGCAGGUUCGAUCCCUGUAUGGGGCA